UGUAAGCGUAUACCAAAGUUGUUGCAGUUAAAACGCUCGUAGUCGGAAUUUGGCAGUUCCGGAUGUGUGCACGUCGUGUGCGCACUUCGCGGGGAUUGCUUUUGUGGUCUUGCGUAGGAUGAGGCACUUUUAUUAGUGAACGUCCUCACGCAACCACUUUUUACUGUGAGAAACUCAGAGUGCUCAAAGCAGGCAUUUGCCGUGAAUGUAUUAGCAUGGAAUAAUAGAAUAGGACUUGGUUCUAUUUUGUUGGUUUGUUGGGACUGAGUAAUGAUUAAGAGGGACAGUUGGGGGCAUUUGUAUUUCGGUGCUAGAGGUGAAAUUCUUAGAUUACCGAAAGACAAACUGCUGCGAAAGCGUCUGCCAAGGAUGUUUUCAUUGA
rnacentral:rRNA from 1 species